rnacentral:misc_RNA from 1 species
GGAAGGAUCAUUAACACGUAUCCACGUAUCAACCCCUCUGUGAAAACCUAUCUCUUGUAAGGCUUGGUCUUAGUGUGCCGUUCGCAUAAAGUCCUAAUGAUGGAGGCUCUUCGGAGCCUAGGGCUUGAACAGCAUGUGUUUGACGUCCAGCCGCCACUUUUCCAUCGUUGGUCCUUUACAACUUUUUAACCCCUUUGUACUCUUUUUGUACUGAACCAAUUCUUCGAUGCUCUUUUACUAGAGUGACGAUAGAUAUUACGAAACUAAAGAACAACUCUUAGCAACGGAUAUCUUGGUUCCCGCAACGAUGAAGAACGCAGCGAAAUGCGAUACGUAAUGCGAAUUGCAGAAUUCAGUGAAUCAUCAAAUCUUUGAACGCAAAUUGCACUCUUGGGUAUGCCCGGGAGUACGCUUCUUUCAGUAUCGGUUCUAUCUAAACUCGCCUGCGUUUUUACGAACACUGGCGGAAAUUGAGCGUCACACUUUUCUCGAAGUGUGUUGCUUGAAAGGUAGAAGCGGUAGUUCCCUUCUUUUUCUCUCGAGAAAAAACUCAUUGAUUCUUCUUGGGGCUUGCCCCAAGCUGAAGCAAACUGAGUGACGUGGUUAAGUUCGCCUCGUGCGACACCGCUACGUCAACCACCUCAGUGCGCUGCAGUUGGAUCAACCGAGUGCGGAACACUAUUACCGUUCUUUGGAUUAUUUACUCCAAACAACAAAAUCAGAUCUGAAAUGAAGUGAGAGGACCCGCUGAACUUAAGCAUAUCAUUAAGCGGAGGAAAAGAAAAUAACAAUGAUUCCCCUAGUAACGGCGAGUGAAGCGGGAAGAGCUCAAGCUGAAAAUCCGGAUGCCUUGCGGUAUCCCGAAUUGUAGUCUAGAGACGUGCUGUCAGUGUGUGACCUGGGUAUAAGUCUUUUGGAACAAGGCAUCAUAGAGGGUGAGAAUCCCGUCUUUGACCCAGAGUACGCCACGUACGACACGCGUUCGAAGAGUCGAGUUGGUCGGGACUCCAGCUCUAAAUGGGUGGUAAGAUUCAUCUAAAGCUAAAUAUAGGCGGGAGACCGAUAGCGAACAAGUACCGUGAGGGAAAGAUGAAAAGAACUUUGAAAAGAGAGUUAAAAAGUACUUGAAAUUGUUAAGAGGAAAGCGAUGGAAACCAGUCGUGCCUGGUGCAACUAAAGUCUUCGCCUGCGAAGAAGGUGCGGUUUGAGUGGUUAAACCUCUGGCCGUGCCUUGGACGUUGUGUGGGGGUGGACGUUGUGUUGGGUGGGUCAGCAUCGAUUUGGCUUGCUUGGGAGAAAGCCAGGGGGGAGCUAGCUUUGCCUUCGGGUGUCGCCGUAUAUCCCUCGGGCUCUACCGGGUGCUGGAUCGAGGACUUGACAACGUGCGCCUUACGGCUUGGAUCCCUAUCUCUGCGGUGUCAACGGCUCUGGACAGAAAAUCUGUGCUGGUCGUGAAGCGCUGUACUGGGUGGGUGCAUUCAUAUGUACGUUCGCGAUGCUGACGAAAUGGUUCUCAUCGACCCGUCUUGAAACACGGACCAAGGAGUCUAACAUAUGUGCGAGUAUUUGGGUGGAAAACCCUGAUGCGUAAUGAAAGUAAAGGCGGACUCGCGCCGCUGAGGUAGGAACCCUGGCUUCGGUUUGGGGGGCACUAUCGACCGAACGUUCGCUUGCGAAAGUUUUGAGUAAGAGCACAUCUGUUGGGACCCGAAAGAUGGUGAUCUAUGCCAGAACAGGGUGAAGGCAGGGGAAACUCUGCUGGAAGCUCGUAGCGAUACUGACGUGCAAAUCGUUCGUCUGAUUUUGGUAUAGGGGCGAAAGACUAAUCGAACCAUCUAGUAGCUGGUUCCCAC